rnacentral:tRNA from 1 species
GCAGGUAUAGCUCAGUGGUAGAGUGUGUGCUUAGCAUGCACAAGGGCCUGGGUUCAAUCCCCAGCACCUCCA